rnacentral:rRNA from 1 species
CGCAAGGCGGCAGCUACACAUGCAGUCGAGCGAGAACUUCGGUUCUAGCGGCGGACGGGUUAGUAACGCGUGGGAACGUGCCCUUCACUACGGAAUAGUCCCGGGAAACUGGGUUUAAUACCGUAUACGCCCUUCGGGGGAAAGAAUUUCGGUGAAGGAUCGGCCCGCGUUAGAUUAGAUAGUUGGUGGGGUAACGGCCUACCAAGUCUACGAUCUAUAGCUGGUUUUAGAGGAUGAUCAGCAACACUGGGACUGAGACACGGCCCAGACUCCUACGGGAGGCAGCAGUGGGGAAUCUUAGACAAUGGGCGCAAGCCUGAUCUAGCCAUGCCGCGUGAGUGAUGAAGGCCUUAGGGUCGUAAAGCUCUUUCGCCAGGGAUGAUAAUGACAGUACCUGGUAAAGAAACCCCGGCUAACUCCGUGCCAGCAGCCGCGGUAAUACGGAGGGGGUUAGCGUUGUUCGGAAUUACUGGGCGUAAAGCGCGCGUAGGCGGAUUGGAAAGUUGGGGGUGAAAUCCCAGGGCUCAACCCUGGAACUGCCUCCAAAACUAUCAGUCUAGAGUUCGAGAGAGGUGAGUGGAACUCCGAGUGUAGAGGUGAAAUUCGUAGAUAUUCGGAAGAACACCAGUGGCGAAGGCGGCUCACUGGCUCGAUACUGACGCUGAGGUGCGAAAGUGUGGGGAGCAAACAGGAUUAGAUACCCUGGUAGU